rnacentral:pre_miRNA from 1 species
UCUGACGGAUGAGCAAAGAAAGUGGUUUCACAAGAUGGAAUCUACUCCUGGUGAAGAUACUGUGAA